ACGGGACCGGAUAUAGAGUUGCCAUCCUUGCUUUAGCUACUUGCAAAUUGCAGCCUUCGAUCUAAGAAGAAAGAAAUGUUUGAAAUCCUGUGUUCUUAGAUUUUGCCAACAGCAACAGUUCCCAAUAUCAUGAAGAUAUAAACUUUCUUAGCGCCUUCCCCCGUGCGCCAGUGGGACUUUCCAUGAACCCUUGAACUUGUCCGCCCUUUGUACAUGACGCCAUUUUCACCCAGAGUGGGUUUCGCGUCUGUCGCACUGCUGUCGGUUGUGUGAGAAACAUCCAAAUCAAACAUGGAGCAAGGAACCGCAAGCAAAUACGACAAAGUGGUGGUACAGCACAAGUUUCACCCAUGGGAGUUUGACAGAGCAGGUUUGAUCGCUGGAGAACACCCAAGUACCCUGGCUCAACAAAACACCGGAGUGUGAUUUGUCUGCGUCAGGAAAAAAUGUUGGUAGCUGCUCCGAGCGGGUGGGUUGCAGCGUGCGUGGUGACGGCUUCUGUAGUACGGCUGGGCUCGGCGAGGGUUCUGGAGG